GAUGAACGCUGGCGGCGUGCCUAAUACAUGCCAGUCGAGCGAACGGACGAGAAGCUUGCUUCUCUGAUGUUAGCGGCGGACGGGUGAGUAACACGUGGAUAACCUACCUAUAAGACUGGGAUAACUUCGGGAAACCGUAGCUAAUACCGGAUAAUAUUUUGAACCGCAUGGUUCAAAAGUGAAAGACGGUCUUGCUGUCACUUAUAGAUGGAUCCGCGCUGCAUUAGCUAGUUGGUAAGGUAACGGCUUACCAAGGCAACGAUGCAUAGCCGACCUGAGAGGGUGAUCGGCCACACUGGAACUGAGACACGGUCCAGGCUCCUACGGGAGGCAGCAGUAGGGAAUCUUCCGCAAUGGGCGAAAGCCUGACGGAGCAACGCCGCGUGAGUGAUGAAGGUCUUCGGAUCGUAAAACUCUGUUAUUAGGGAAGAACAUAUGUGUAAGUAACUGUGCACAUCUUGACGGUACCUAAUCAGAAAGCCACGGCUAACUACGCG
rnacentral:rRNA from 1 species